CGCCAGCGUCGCGCCCUCCCACCACUGAUAAGUGGGGCUGUUCCCUUCCCGUCACGCCAAGUGCUGCGCUUCCAUAUUCUUGGCUCACAUGCAACAUAACCUUGUUUACUCCAUAAGAAGACAUUUAUUUUAGUCAUCUUAGCUAAAUCUGAGCAAAGAGAACAUUUUGGCUGACAUUUCGGGCUGUGUUGAACAUGUUGUUUCUUGUCGGACUAAACUUUUUUGUGAUACAAUAAUUCAUCGGAUAUUCUUCCGCUAGUCAGAGAGGAAACCGUUGCACGAAAUCAUUAGUAUCGGAACAUUUGGAACCCCAACAGUUUGUUUCCAUUUGGAGUGAAGCCACAGAGCUUGGGUACAAGUCUCAGGAUGUUAGGCUACACACACACAGAUGGAGCAAAAUGCACACCAAGGGAAAAUGAGCUCAGAACCCAGGUACAUCACUAGAACAUUUGUCAGUUCCCAUGGAUGCCCCCCAAAAACUGUUUUAGCAUAAUGAAAAAAAUGAAUUUCUA